rnacentral:rRNA from 1 species
GGGUUGUGAGGUUAAGCGACUAAGCGUACACGGUGGAUGCCCUGGCAGUCAGAGGCGAUGAAGGACGUGCUAAUCUGCGAUAAGCGUCGGUAAGGUGAUAUGAACCGUUAUAACCGGCGAUUUCCGAAUGGGGAAACCCAGUGUGAUUCGUCACACUAUCAUUAACUGAAUCCAUAGGUUAAUGAGGCGAACCGGGGGAACUGAAACAUCUAAGUACCCCGAGGAAAAGAAAUCAACCGAGAUUCCCCCAGUAGCGGCGAGCGAACGGGGAGCAGCCCAGAGCCUGAAUCAGUGUGUGUGUUAGUGGAAGCGUCUGGAAAGGCGCGCGAUACAGGGUGACAGCCCCGUACACAAAAAUGCACAUGCUGUGAGCUCGAUGAGUAGGGCGGGACACGUGGUAUCCUGUCUGAAUAUGGGGGGACCAUCCUCCAAGGCUAAAUACUCCUGACUGACCGAUAGUGAACCAGUACCGUGAGGGAAAGGCGAAAAGAACCCCGGCGAGGGGAGUGAAAAAGAACCUGAAACCGUGUACGUACAAGCAGUGGGAGCACAGAGCAAUCUGUGUGACUGCGUACCUUUUGUAUAAUGGGUCAGCGACUUAUAUUCUGUAGCAAGGUUAACCGAAUAGGGGAGCCGAAGGGAAACCGAGUCUUAACUGGGCGUUAAGUUGCAGGGUAUAGACCCGAAACCCGGUGAUCUAGCCAUGGGCAGGUUGAAGGUUGGGUAACACUAACUGGAGGACCGAACCGACUAAUGUUGAAAAAUUAGCGGAUGACUUGUGGCUGGGGGUGAAAGGCCAAUCAAACCGGGAGAUAGCUGGUUCUCCCCGAAAGCUAUUUAGGUAGCGCCUCGUGAAUUCAUCUCCGGGGGUAGAGCACUGUUUCGGCAAGGGGGUCAUCCCGACUUACCAACCCGAUGCAAACUGCGAAUACCGGAGAAUGUUAUCACGGGAGACACACGGCGGGUGCUAACGUCCGUCGUGAAGAGGGAAACAACCCAGACCGCCAGCUAAGGUCCCAAAGUCAUGGUUAAGUGGGAAACGAUGUGGGAAGGCCCAGACAGCCAGGAUGUUGGCUUAGAAGCAGCCAUCAUUUAAAGAAAGCGUAAUAGCUCACUGGUCGAGUCGGCCUGCGCGGAAGAUGUAACGGGGCUAAACCAUGCACCGAAGCUGCGGCAGCGACACUAUGUGUUGUUGGGUAGGGGAGCGUUCUGUAAGCCUGUGAAGGUGUACUGUGAGGUAUGCUGGAGGUAUCAGAAGUGCGAAUGCUGACAUAAGUAACGAUAAAGCGGGUGAAAAGCCCGCUCGCCGGAAGACCAAGGGUUCCUGUCCAACGUUAAUCGGGGCAGGGUGAGUCGACCCCUAAGGCGAGGCCGAAAGGCGUAGUCGAUGGGAAACAGGUUAAUAUUCCUGUACUUGGUGUUACUGCGAAGGGGGGACGGAGAAGGCUAUGUUGGCCGGGCGACGGUUGUCCCGGUUUAAGCGUGUAGGCUGGUUUUCCAGGCAAAUCCGGAAAAUCAAGGCUGAGGCGUGAUGACGAGGCACUACGGUGCUGAAGCAACAAAUGCCCUGCUUCCAGGAAAAGCCUCUAAGCAUCAGGUAACAUCAAAUCGUACCCCAAACCGACACAGGUGGUCAGGUAGAGAAUACCAAGGCGCUUGAGAGAACUCGGGUGAAGGAACUAGGCAAAAUGGUGCCGUAACUUCGGGAGAAGGCACGCUGAUAUGUAGGUGAAGUCCCUCGCGGAUGGAGCUGAAAUCAGUCGAAGAUACCAGCUGGCUGCAACUGUUUAUUAAAAACACAGCACUGUGCAAACACGAAAGUGGACGUAUACGGUGUGACGCCUGCCCGGUGCCGGAAGGUUAAUUGAUGGGGUCAGCGCAAGCGAAGCUCUUGAUCGAAGCCCCGGUAAACGGCGGCCGUAACUAUAACGGUCCUAAGGUAGCGAAAUUCCUUGUCGGGUAAGUUCCGACCUGCACGAAUGGCGUAAUGAUGGCCAGGCUGUCUCCACCCGAGACUCAGUGAAAUUGAACUCGCUGUGAAGAUGCAGUGUACCCGCGGCAAGACGGAAAGACCCCGUGAACCUUUACUAUAGCUUGACACUGAACAUUGAGCCUUGAUGUGUAGGAUAGGUGGGAGGCUUUGAAGUGUGGACGCCAGUCUGCAUGGAGCCGACCUUGAAAUACCACCCUUUAAUGUUUGAUGUUCUAACGUUGACCCGUGAUCCGGGUUGCGGACAGUGUCUGGUGGGUAGUUUGACUGGGGCGGUCUCCUCCUAAAGAGUAACGGAGGAGCACGAAGGUUGGCUAAUCCUGGUCGGACAUCAGGAGGUUAGUGCAAUGGCAUAAGCCAGCUUGACUGCGAGCGUGACGGCGCGAGCAGGUGCGAAAGCAGGUCAUAGUGAUCCGGUGGUUCUGAAUGGAAGGGCCAUCGCUCAACGGAUAAAAGGUACUCCGGGGAUAACAGGCUGAUACCGCCCAAGAGUUCAUAUCGACGGCGGUGUUUGGCACCUCGAUGUCGGCUCAUCACAUCCUGGGGCUGAAGUAGGUCCCAAGGGUAUGGCUGUUCGCCAUUUAAAGUGGUACGCGAGCUGGGUUUAGAACGUCGUGAGACAGUUCGGUCCCUAUCUGCCGUGGGCGCUGGAGAACUGAGGGGGGCUGCUCCUAGUACGAGAGGACCGGAGUGGACGCAUCACUGGUGUUCGGGUUGUCAUGCCAAUGGCACUGCCCGGUAGCUAAAUGCGGAAGAGAUAAGUGCUGAAAGCAUCUAAGCACGAAACUUGCCCCGAGAUGAGUUCUCCCUGACUCCUUGAGAGUCCUGAAGGAACGUUGAAGACGACGACGUUGAUAGGCCGGGUGUGUAAGCGCAGCGAUGCGUUGAGCUAACCGGUACUAAUGAACCGUGAGGCUUAACCUUACAACGCCGAAGCUGUU